CAUCCCCUGAGUGUGAUAGGUCUCUCGUCUCGGGAGAUAGUUUCUCUGCCAUGUUUAAAUCUGCGGAUCCCAGACUUUGUAAGGAGCUUUCUAUCGGGCAGUUUGUGGUAGCUUUCGGGAUCUACCGUGAUGUCGUGUGUUCCGUGUAUCCGGACAGGAGACAGGAGUUUGACGCUUAUUUGGCUCUUAUUGCUGAUCUUAAUCUGAAAUACAAUAGAAGUGUGUUCUAUCAGUACCACAAAGCCUUUUCUAGCAAAUCUGCCCUGUAUAUUGCCCGGUCUAAUGUGCGCCUGAACUGGUCCAUUUUGGACACCGAGCUUCUGGUCAUGACACUAUGCCUCCCUCUGCCCUGCUGUGGCGUUUCAGAGUUCGAACGCCGGGGUUCCUGUGCAGCGUCCUCCUCUGAGACAUCCUGUUCCUGGUGUGGAUUCCCGUGGGCGUCAGCGACUGCCGAGACGCAACGUGACUCAAAAAUAGAGACUCAACGUGGUUCAAAGACAUUUUGAAGAUGCAUCCUUCAACUCCAAUAAAUGUACAUGCAUGGCAUUGGUCGUCUCAUCCUAAUUCUGUUUGUGGACCAUAUUCUCUCGGGUGCGGCUAUAAGUUGUCUUUUCAGACGAGAGUGCGACCCGCCCCCUCCCCUUCUGCCUCCAGACUUCUUCGCCCAGGGUGUCUCGGUCUUAUCGGCUGACGGCUCCCUUUUGGUGCUUCCGAUCUACGGAUUUUAGUCGCCACCACCUAGACUCCAUUGGGGGAUAUGUUUGGUUGUCUCUAAACCUCAAUAAUGUAUAUAUGCCCCUUCUCAGAUGGAGUCUAGUCUCCAAAAACAUUCUUUGUA